CUCCCUGCUUUAGUGCUCCCUGAAUGGCCUUUUGAGUAAAAAAAAUUCAAAAUGUGACCGGGCAUGGUGGUUCACGCCUGUAAUCCCAGCACUUUGGGAGGCCAAGGCGGGCGGAUCACCUAAGGUCUGGAGUUCGAGACCAGCCUGGCCAACAUGAUGAAACCCUGUCUCUACAGUCUCUACUAAAAAUACAAAAAUUAGCCACGCGUGGUGGCAUGCCUGUAAUCACAGCUACUAGGGAGGCUGAGGGCAGGAGAAUCGCUUGAACCUGGGAGACAGAAGUUGCAGUGAGCCAAGAUUGUGCCACUGUACUCCAGCCUGGGUGACAGAGUGAGACUCUGUCUCACAAAAAAAGGUGGGCGGCCAAAGCCCCUCAACCCCCCACCCCAUUCCCAAAGCCCUGCCAACCUCACGUCCCUCACUCUUUCUUUGUGAGAUUGACCUGCCUUCCCUUCCCCGCCAAAAGCAAGCUCCUUCCCAACUGCAGGCGUUUCUCAUGCAGUGCCCCCUGCCUGGGGUGCCCUUUCCCUUGUCCUCACUGGGAUAAGGCCUCCCUGCUUACUGGGCUCCCACUGUGUUGAAGGAGGAAGCACACCUGCUUACUCACCUAUUCAAGAGUCAGUCUCACCUGGGGGCUAAUCUGACCCCCUAUCCCCACCCAGGCUGGGUCAGGUCCACCCCUCUGCUCCCUCUGCCCUGGGAAUGGCCCUAUCACCCCGCUUAGCUGAGUGUGCACUGGAUGCCCUCACUGAGUUGGUCUCUGGGGGCAAGAUCUGGUUCUCAACCACUCCUGCACUCUUGCACACAGCAGGGGUGGUGUCUGGGUCCGGGGCUGCAGCGGCAGGUAGGGAACGGGCUGUCAGUCACAGCCACCCCAAAGGGGGGCUGGACCCCACGUCACCCCCACAGGCACAGGCACCGCCCUGCCUUUCUUCACCCUCCAGCUCUGCUCAUCUCCUUGCCCUUAACUAGAGGUACCUUCCCAGAUGGCCGUCUUCUGGAAGAUGCCAGGGGUGCCUUCCUUUCGCCACUCUUGAGGCACAUCAUACUGUUCCCUGCAGACAGAAAUGCCUUGAGCAGCUGUAGGCAAGGAGGCUGAGGAGGGACUUGGUGGACCCUGACCUUCAGCUUCCCUCGAGGGGACAGUCACAGCCACACCCCGAGUCAGAGAUGGCAGCGAUGAUGGCAGAGAACAAAAAGUAGCAUCACCAUGGCUUCCCUUCUACCAAGCUGGGAAAAGUGAGACCCAGACGCUCCAUCUCAGCUUCCCCAUGUGGUGCUGUGCUCUGUGGUGGCCAAGACUGCCAUGUUGCCAUGCUGUGAUGCAGCAAGAAAGUCCUCACCAGAUGCAGCCCCUUGAUCUUGGACUUCCCAGCCUCCAGAACUGUGAGCCAAAUAAACUUCUAUUGUUUAUCAAUUACCCAGUGGUGGUAUUCUGUUAUAAUAGCACAAAAUGGACUAAAACACUGCCAAAUUGAUGUAUCCUACAGGAAGGCCGCCCUUUGCUGCACCCAGGGCUGGGAGGGUCUGGGCACCCCAUCUGGCCUCAGCUGACCUCUCUGAUUGCUGGCCUGGAAGGAGCAGAGCCUUAGGACAUUCAGACAGUGGCCACCCCAGGAUCUGUCCCCUCUGUGUGGGCCUGCGGUGCUGGCCUCACAAGCUCACCUGUGCCGUUUUCUCUGGGAUAGGCUGAAUAAGAUGAUUAGGAUGAUCAAUGCGAGCAGCAGCACCGCCAUCACAGCCCCCACGAUCCCAUACACGAGGCUCUUGGCGAUGUUGAAUUCACAGGUCUCUCCCCAGUACCAGUGUGUGUUCGUAUUUGGGCACCUGGGGACACAGACAAGCUCACGCUGAUCCCCUGGGAUCCCUCACAUCCAAUAUCCCAAGGGUUAACCCACUCUCCUAAGCACAGGAAACCAGAUCUCCCUCACUCCAACGGCUGGAGCUCAGCCCCCAGAGAGCCUGGGUCCCUGACUUCCUCAGGCUGAUGGGCACUGAGGGAGUUGGGGGGACCUGGAGACUGCAGAUCAGGAAUUCAAAUGACUAGGGCUCAAGGGGACCUGAGAGUGUUGGGUGUCUCGUCCCAGACACGUACCAUUCACCCACCUAAUCUCUAAGCAUCUGCUACCUAAAUGGGCCUGUUAUCAUGGUUUUUCUUUUGCACCUUAAUUUAUGGUCUGUGGACUUAGUGCUGUGGCUGCAGCUAGAGGUAAUCUUGACAGCAUGGCAGAGAUGACAUAAGGGAAAUUAACAAUAUAGACAGAUAUAGAGAUUGAGAUAGAGAUACAAAGAUAGAGAUAGAGAUAGAGAUACAGACAAAGAUAGAGAUAGAGAUAGAUUUGGAAAUUGACAGCAU
rnacentral:lncRNA from 10 species